rnacentral:rRNA from 1 species
UUACUGGGCGUAAGCGCACGCAGGCGGUCUGUCAAGUCGGAUGUGAAAUCCCCGGGCUCUACCUGGGAACUGCAUUCGAAACUGGCAGGCUAGAGUCUUGUAGAGGGGGGUAGAAUUCCAGGUGUAGCGGUGAAAUGCGUAGAGAUCUGGAGGAAUACCGGUGGCGAAGGCGGCCCCCUGGACAAAGACUGACGCUCAGGUGCGAAAGCGUGGGGAGCAAACAGGAUUAGAUACCCUGGUAGUCCACGCCGUAAACGAUGUCGACUUGGAGGUUGUGCCCUUGAGGCGUGGCUUCCGGAGCUAACGCGUUAAGUCGACCGCCUGGGGAGUACGGCCGCAAGGUUAAAACUCAAAUGAAUUGACGGGGGCCCGCACAAGCGGUGGAGCAUGUGGUUUAAUUCGAUGCAACGCGAAGAACCUUACCUACUCUUGACAUCCAGAGAACUUGGCAGAGAUGCUUUGGUGCCUUCGGGAACUCUGAGACAGGUGCUGCAUGGCUGUCGUCAGCUCGUGUUGUGAAAUGUUGGGUUAAGUCCCGCAACGAGCGCAACCCUUAUCCUUUGUUGCCAGCGG